CCAACCUAUCCGUCCGCACCCUCUCCCCUCCUCGUCACCUGCCAAAAUAAAUCCCUCUGCUCUCCAGCUCCAUACCCUCAAUCCCGAUCAAACGCUAGGGUUUCAAGCCUCUCUCUCUCUCCCUCCACCAGGCGGCCGCCAUUGACACGGUGGCGCACGAACUCCCCCAGAUCUGGCCAAGCCACCCCGCGAAUCCUCACCUGACGCACCAAGCGGUGAAGAAUUCGAACACGAUCUUAAGCAUCGUUGACUAAGACCACACACAAAUACAUCUGCUUUCCCCUACCUGUUUUUGUGUUUUUUUGUCGUUUCGGACGAUACAUAAGAACAGAUCUGCAAGGGGUAUGAAUCAGAUCUGCAAGGGGCUUGCAGAUCUACUUGUGUGAGAACUGGGCCCCUUGUUUGUGGACGCCCCGAACGAACCCUUGACCUGAGGAUCUGUUUGAUCCGUCUGAGAUCUGCCUGUUGUUUUUUGUUGGCUUCGGGAGAAUGUUCAAGUCGAUGGUUUAUUACGGGAACACCUCGAUCGGGGAGGUGGAGGUGUGGCCCAAGGGCGAGGCGAGCGCGGGCCUGACCGUGGCGUCUUGGGCGCGAGAGAUCCGCGUUGACCGCCUUUCCCCGCCCAGCGAGCGGUGUCCGCCGCUCGCCGUCAUGCACACCGUGGCCGUCGGCGCCCGAUGCCUCGUCAUGGAGUCCAGGCCGCCCGCCGCUGCCGACGUGGCGCCGCUGCCGCUCGUCGCCAUGCACACCGCUUGCCUCAGGGACAACAAGACUGCAGUUGUUCCACUUGGAGAUGAAGAAUUGCAUUUAGUUGCAAUGACGUCCAGAAGAAACUUGACAAAUCAUGCUUGUUUCUGGGGCUAUAAAUUGCCAUUUGGCUUGUAUAAUUCUUGCUUGACCAUGUUAAAUCUCCGGUGCCUGGGUAUCGUGUUUGACCUUGAUGAGACAUUGAUUGUCGCCAAUACAUCACGGUCUUUUGAGGACAGAAUUGACGCGCUUCAAAGAAAGCUGAGUAAUGAGACUGAUCCACAGCGCACGAGUGGAAUGUUAUCAGAAAUCAAGAGGUACCAAGAUGAUAAGUCCAUCCUAAAGCAAUAUAUAGAAGGUGAUCAAGUCAAUGAUGAUGGAAAAUUGUAUAAAGCGCAGCCUGAGGUUGUUCCACCACUGUCUGAUAACCAUCAACCAAUGACACGUCCAGUUAUAAGAUUACAAGAGAAAAACAUUAUCUUGACAAGAAUAAAUCCUCUGAUAAGGGAUACCAGCGUUCUUGUACGGUUAAGGCCAGCCUGGGAGGAUCUUUGCAGCUACUUAAUUGCAAGAGGUCGCAAGCGUUUUGAAGUCUUUGUGUGCACGAUGGCUGAGAGAGACUAUGCUUUAGAAAUGUGGAGGUUACUUGAUCCAGAUUCAAGAUUAAUUAACUCUGUUCAACUUCAUGAUCGAAUGGUGUGUGUAAAAUCUGGUUUAAGGAAGUCCUUGCUAAAUGUUUUCCAUGAUGGCUCUUGCCAUCCUGGAAUGGCAUUAGUAAUUGAUGAUCGUCUGAAAGUUUGGGAUGAGAAAGAUCAAUCUAGAGUUCAUGUGGUUCCUGCAUUUACUCCAUAUUAUGCUCCUCAAGCAGAGGCAAACUGUUCUAUCCCAGUUCUGUGUGUCGCCAGAAAUGUUGCAUGUAAUGUUAGGGGCGGCUUCUUCAAAGACUUCGAUGAAGGCCUCUUGCCAAGGAUUAGCAAUGUUCUUUAUGAGGAUGAAAUAAAUGGUAUCCCAUCUGCUCCAGAUGUUAGCAAUUAUUUGAUAACAGAGGAUGAGAAUGUUGCAGUAGUGAAUGGAAAUAGAGAUCUGUUGCCUUUUGAUGGUAUGGCAGAUGCUGAGGUUGAGCGGAGAAUGAAGGAAGCAUCUGUCAAUGCUCAAGCAUUCCAUCCAACAGUGGCGAGCUUUGUGAUGCCAGUUGCCCCUGCCCAGAAUUUUGUUUCGUCUUCAGUGGCACCGUUAGCCCCACCCAUUGGCAUGGUGCCACCUUCAUUUAACCAACCAGUUGCUCAACCAGUAUUUUCAGAUCCACUGCAAGGUUCUCCAGCUAGAGAAGAGGGUGAAGUUCCUGAGUCUGAGUUGGAUCCUGACACAAGGAGAAGGCUUCUCAUAUUACAGCAUGGUCAAGACACAAGGGAUCCUACACCGCCACUCCCAGUAAUACCACCGGUGCAAGUCCAUGUUCCUCCAGUGCAACCUCAUGGAAAUUGGUUUCCCACAGAGGAUGGAAUGAACCCAAGUAAUCUGAAUAGAAGUUCAGCAGCUUUCUCAUUGGAAUCUGAUACUAUGCUCUAUGAGAAAAAACAACCACAUCAUCCUUCAUUCUUUCAUGGUGGGGAUAAUCCUGUUCCCUCUGAUAGAUUUAGCUAUCAGAACCAGAGGUUUCCCUCUCAGCUACCACAUACUGAGGAUCACCGCAUGCUUCAGAACCAUGCACCUCCAAAAUACAGAUCCUUUUCUGGCGAGGAGCUAGCAGUUCGGCAUGUUCCCUCAAGCCAGAGAAAUAACCAAAUAGAAUCAGGAAGACACUUUGCACAAUAUGCACCCUCUGCUGGCAUAUUAGAGGAUAUUGCGCUGAAGUGUGGAUCUAAGGUGGAGUACAGGUCCACAUUAUGCGAUACUGCAGAACUACAGUUCUCUAUCGAGGUUUGGAUAGUUGGAGAAAAAGUAGGUGAAGGAAUUGGGAGGACAAGGAAAGAAGCACUGCGUCAAGCUGCAGAGUUUUCUUUAAGAAAUUUGGCCAAUAAAUACCUGUCUUCUGAUCCUAAUAAGAUGACUGAUAUGAAGGAAAAUGGUUUUGGUAGCAACUGGAACUUUUUUGGAUACUCUGGAACUACCAGGGAUGAUAUGUUGCCAGUUUCAAGUACUUCCGAGGAAUCUCGUUUUUUGAAAAUGGAGGAGACUAAUUCCAGAAAAACAGGAGGUUCUGUUGCUGCUCUCAAGGAACUUUGCACAGUUGAGGGAUAUAACUUGGUUUUUCAAGCUUGUCCGUCUCAUCCAGAUGGUUCAGUAGGGAAAGAAUCCUAUGCUCAGGUAGAAGUUGGUGGACAAAUUCUAGGCAAAGGAGUAGGGAUAACAUGGGAAGAGGCCAAGCUCCAGGCUGCUGAUGAGGCCCUCGGUACUUUAAGAUCCAUGCUUGGUCAACUUGGUCAGAAAUGGUCUGGUUCUCCGAGGGGUUUUAUAUUGAAUGGAAAUACAAGAUGGUUUCUGCUUCUACGGUGUUACCAUCUUGCAAAGUGGUGAUCGAAUUUAACCCUGCUAAUGGUCUGGACUCUGGAAUCCAAACCGAACCCACACCAACCCACUUCAAGCAUGCACAGUCUUGUCAAUCCAGCCCAGAUCAUUCCUCAACCUGCCAAAACCAAACCACCCCAAACCGUGAUGUCCUUUCAGCCCAAACCAAACCAAACCAUUUGUCUAACCAUGGGUUCAACCUUUUAGAAACCGAUUGCCAACCCAUGGCUUUUCUCCUGCAAAUGAUCACAUCACCCGUCCACUGUCCAUGCCAACACACAAGCUUGAACCAACCCACGAGUCCACGACCACGAGACUGUCAGCAUAGCAAGGGCAAGAAAAGGCAGAGGUUUCUCUAAAGGAAAAAAUCAGACAAAGAAUCAUGGAAAUAAGAAAGCAAUCAGAAAAUCCGCGCGAAUAAGAAAAUAAACAUGAAAAUUCACAAAAAAUAAAUAACAUUCACAAAAGUAUACUAGUAUAUGCAUAAUCAGAAAAGGUGAACGGCUUAAUCUCUUUCAUUUCACAUUUUCACCACAGAUUACCAUGAAUUUCUGAUCUAGGUACAUAAUUCAUUGCAAAGAUCCGAGCAUUUCUCAAUCUGUUGUUUAUUUCUUUUUUAUAUAUAUAUGAGAGCUAGCAUAAUGCUCCUGCAAAUGAUGAUUUUUUUCCCAUCAAAGUUGAAUAAUUCCAGUUCCUUAGUUGCUUCCCUUGCUGUGCUUCCUUGAGAUGUGAUCAAUCUGCAGUAACAUUAAGGAAAAGCUACAGAAUAGCAAUCAAAUUUCAUCCCCAGAUUUUCAUAUCAUAUCCAAAAUAUUUACCCACACAAUUACACAAUCUAGCCACACAAUUCAGCCAAAUUCAAUCACAAAACCCACACAGCGAACCACUAGGAAAUCUUACAGCUUCAUCAUAGUAAGAUCGUGAGAGGAGAAAAACUUGGUUCUGAGCAUGAAGAGAUCAAGCUCCGCACAUCCGGAGUGCACUGGCCUGGGUUUUCUCCACUGCCAUAGGCCAUGGCCGUGCGUUAAUCUGCGUGUCGAUGCACGGAAGCUAAUCGACCGGGGUGGCGAUGCGGAGGCAGGUGACAUGCGCCUCCAGGAGCAGCUCGUAUAGCGUGUGCGCCGAGAUGGCCACCUUCCUCCCGCUUCUUGAUGGGCUUUGCCUCCACCGACGAUAGAUCUGUGGAGGAGAUGGAACUAGAGAGCGCGAGGCGGAGGAGCAGGACCGGGGGAGGAGGCUGGGACAGGCAUGAGAUAGCGGAGGCGGCAGCGGGCAGGAGAUAGUCGAGGGUUUUGCCUAGGAGGUCUGGCCAUCUGGUGCUAGCUGCUCCAAACUGUUCCUACGAGCCAUUGCAAACCCAUGGGUCGAAACCAUUUGGAACCGAAAAAUUCAAGCCCAUAACCAAACCACCUCAAGCCAUUUCCACCAGCAAUCCAAACCGAACCAAUCCAUUCACACAGUCAGCCCAUUCUUACCCAACCAAAGCUAGCCCAAAACAAAAACCAAACCAUUAAAACUGUUUAGGUUCAAACCAUUAGUAGGGCUAAUCGAAUUUGAUAGGGGAGGAAAGAUGGUGUUCAUGAGCUUUUGAUGAUAAUCUGGCAGUGUUCUAGGUUAUUAUUAUGAAUUAGGGUAUUCGGUAUCAAGGAAAAACUAUGGUGCCUUAGCUGGGUCAUGUAUGCAGGAUAGCAUGGCAUGUUCCAAUCACCAUUCCAACAUGGAUUUUUGGUGUCAUGGUCAUUGGCACCAAAUUUUAAUAAGCGCUUCAAGCCAGAUUUUCCAAGGACUCUGCAAAGGGUUCCUUAUGGUACAUAUUCCAGGAUCGAAGGCCAUGUUCCUUGAGGAGGGUUCACAUAAGUGAUGAGCCUGGACACUGGACAUUUAAAUUGAAUGAGACUUGUGAGCUGUCAGCUCUUCAGACAAUCAGGGCAAAUCCUUGAUUCCUUACUUCUGAUGGACUUCCGAGGCUCUUCCCUGCUGCUACUGGUGGCGAAGAAAGUUAUGGAAGCGCCAAUAAAUUGUGAAAUUUUAUGGUGGCCAUGCCUCUUCAUGCAGAAUUUUAUCUUGGUUUCAUCCUAUGCCAUUACAGUUGGCGCACCAUGUUGGUGUAAUCCUUGUGGAUCUGAAAAUUUAAAGCUUCAGUUCAGUUCAUGCAGCUUCAGUUCAGUUUGGUGCUUGCCAGAAAUCCAAGGAUCGAAGAGCAGAGCUGUAGUAAGUGGACAUUUGUUCUUGCUCUGGUUCAGGUGAAAGUUGUACCCGUGUAGCUCGGCGUCCUAGCCGUAGUUAGCCAAUUUUAUUAACUUUUUGGGAAAGUGGUUGCUCGAAAUUGAGCUGUUGACAGUACUAUUAGUAUGUUGACGUAGUCGUCUUUGUAGCUGUAGGCAGCCAAUUUUAUUAGCUUUCUAGGUUAGUGGUUGCACGAAAUUCAGUAGCUGACAACAUUUAUCUGUAUGUUGUAGGCUUGUAGCCAUGUUUGUAAUUUAUGGUCCUGUUAUUUGCCUCAGUAA